CGGGAGGUGGACUACAGGGGACCAAUGUAACUGUCACUUACGCGACCUACCACACGAUCCGGCUAGACAAGGGAUAUCCACAAGUAAUUUAGGUCUAAGCACCACGCUUACACCUAUACUACAACUCUCACCUAUAGCGUCCUAUAGAUUAAAGUACUCAAAAGUGUUGUGAACCAGAACAUACAUGGAUAGUAAUUGCAUAAUGAAAUAGAAGUAGAUUACCAGAGUCAUCCCAUGAGCAAGCUUGAUUAGAGCUUGGUCAUGGCGAAGUACAAUCGGAGGAAGAACCGACAGGCCGGCCUCUCCUCCAAUCCUCCCUUGCUCUCCAUCUCGCUACUAUCUAGAUCUACUCUAGUUUAGAGAAGAGAGGAGAGCUGUCAUCUCCAAACCCUAGCUUUUCCUCUGUCUAUGAAUAAUGAAUAGGGAUCAAGGGGGUGCCUCCUCCAGGGGCCAGGGGGCCUGCUUAUAUAGUCCCGUCAAGUGAAUCUAGGCUGUCAGAUCGAACCGAUAUUAAUCGCACGGUAUUCCUUGAUCCUUUAGGUCGGUGGAGCAUAAUCCGCGAGAUUGAUCGUGAUUGGUGGAAAUACCUGGGCGGGCGCCCUGUCCCCGAGCCCGCUCGGCUUCCCGUUCGUUCCCGUGGCUUCUGGAGUCUUCUAGAUGAUAGAAAAUUGCGCAGCACGUUAAUAUCUCUAUGUAAUCCCGACGUGUGGGCCUUUCUUCCGUAUUUCCUGAUAACCCCCUGCAUAAAUAGACAAACACCAAAACUCGUGGAAUUCUGUCAGAUAAAACCCUAAGUCUGGGUGUUGGUUGCAUUUGGAUCCUUUUAUUUGUUUAUUUGAUAAUUAAAUUUGGUACUUAAGGAUCGUUAACAACUCCCUCAAGCUUAUCUCUUGCUUGUCCCUGUGCAAGGUUGGACUCAAGAGUUUCUGCAGUGGUUUUAUGCCUUAAAGGUACACAUGCGUUCAAACAAGAUCUCAUCUCUGGGUUAGGGUAAACUGUUAAGAUUUAAACUUACUCAUUUUUCUUUCCACCAUGGGGCUUGCAACCUUCACUUGUGUCUUGAGCAGUUAAAAGAUAGAACGGUCAAGUCAAGCACCAUCUCUCUUAUUCUUUGAUCAACUAUAGCUCUAGAGUUUUUGUAGAUUUUCAAAAUAAAACGCAGAGAUUCCUUGUAUGACUCUCUCAAAUCUCUCUUUUGUGGUAUUUCUAGAUCCUUACCAAGGCAGUGAUGGUAUAUGCCUUCUCUCAAAGUAUGUAGUAUUUUUGGUAUGAGGCAUAGUGAUAUUGCCUUCUCUCUCAUCCUACUCUAAUGAGGCUUUGAUAUCUGGAGCUCAUAGGUGGGAGACAGCUAAUACAUACUUACAAGACAUUUAUUGCAUAGUCAAACUAUGGAUCCAGAGAAACAAGUCAAUAAGUCAAAUCAAGAUGUGCAUGUGUGGCGAAUGAAUGGUGUAUGCUGAUGAUGGUGAUAAUGGUGAAAGUCUAAUUCUACGCUUGCUCUUUUGAGGGGAUACAUACCUUUCUUGCACUUUGAAGCUUUUUGAGGGGAAUGAGAUGCUCUAUAUUUUCUUUUUCUUUUCUCUCAGGUGGGUAUCUUGUACCCCUAAUUCUACUGUCGGACACUUGUCCAUUUUUACCUAUCGUCUUACUUUUUCUUUUCUUCGAGGUUCCGGGCACUUGCCCCUUUUUAUUUUCUCUUAUUUUUUUUUCUUUUUUUCUUCUCUCUCUCUCUCUUUUUUUAGAGCACUCACUCUCCUGGAAUAAUGUAGCAAGUGGUAGUAACCAAAAUAUCUCGAGCAUUUAUUUCACUGCGAAAAGCAGGAAUGGGAUAAUGUUUUUGGUUAUUCUCUCCCGGAUAGGAGUAGAAUAAUUUUGGGUGAAUCUGGAGAGGGAAAUGAGUGGAUGUAUGUGGCUGCGUACUUCCGGAGUAGAAGCAGCAUGUAUAAGUGAACGUGCAAGUGAAUCUUGAUUUUAACCGCAUGACAAGCUCCUAAGGGUCUACACAGCUUGACCACACUCAAUGCUCAUAAGCAGUAAAAAGUAAAUGUAUGGUUCAUAGUCUAAUAUGGCUGUGGUAGGAUUUUAAACUCUCAUCAUACAGGAACUCAUCAUGCAACAUUUUAAAGAUUUUCAAAGAUAACAUUCCCCAGAAUUCUAGCAUCUCUAGAAACAGAUAAACAACAGCUCAACCUUCCCAUAUAGUAUCCGUUAACGACUUGGACUUUAGAUAAGUACUCUUCCCACAAGUUUAGGUUUAGAGCAAAUCUUAAUUCAUAACAGUCAUACCUAAACUUGAGAGAGAUUUCAAUUUUGAGAACUAGGCAGAGCAACUAUUCAUCAUUUCCAUGUGAGAGCUUAUCAUAAGGGUUCAUAGCAAACUUUAUUUAUUUAUUUAUGUAUUUAGCGAACUAAGCAAAGAUAUUUAUAUAAGCACAAAAUCUUUAUUUAGGUUUUUAUAAUUAUGUAUCUUUUUAUUAUUUGAGUAAAGUAUAAACAUGAGUAGAAACACUUAGUUGGAUAAAUGGGGGUGCCCUCCCCCAAGCUGGAUUUUGACGUAAUUUCUUCUGAUGUAGCUAGCAGGUGGCGGAGGUGUAUUUGAAUGUUUGCAGCACCUAGACAGCGAUUAGGAUGUCCUCCGUCUGCUAGUCUUCUUUGAUCCUUGGAUUCUGCGGAGCUCAAAUAGACAACAAAGCUUUGUGGAACUGGUUAAGUGUUAGCAUAAAAUCUCUUAGCCGUUAUCAUGUUGAGCUUCCUCUAAUAGAUAUUACUCUCUUUGGUAGGAUCAUAAAUUUAUUUUUAUAUUUUCAUUUCUAUUGGACAGGAAUAUAUUUAUUUUAUUUUUACGCUAACACAGUGAAUGUACUUAUGAGUUUUAUGCCACGAGAAUACUCACAUGAGGCUUACUAUUUUUAAUAUUUUUAAUUUCUUUUCAAGAUAGCAUGAUUAACUAACAAGCUAUUUAAGGAAUGUAAAUAAUUUAAGGGAAAAGGGAAUGCAGAAAGGAUAAAUAUGGAUAACUACCGCUUUUACCUUUCGGCGAGGGUUCAAUGUUUUAAGUCUUCUGAACAAGACUUCUCACCGUGUACGUUCUUUAGAUGCGUCAUUUGAUUCAGGUGUGAACCUUGACGUCUGCACCUCUUGAUAUGGUGUCACCCAUGUUCUUUGUUUGCCCUGCAGUUCGAAGUGUGGCGUUGGCAGCAUCCUGCUCAGUGUGUUUGUGCUUUUAGAUCUAGGUCCUUCACUUGGUAGAGUCUGGGAGUUGAAAAAUCCUCCAUGUUUCUCAAAAUGUGUCCUGCUCAUAGAGACAAGGCAGAGAUCAAGUGCAUCGGCCCUGUUGGUGGAAAACACCAACAUAACCAAAGUGUAUUUGUUCUUCUCUAACCUUAAGCAUAGUGAGCAAGACAAAUUUGAUGGAUAAUAGGAUCAUGAGUGUAGCAUUUAAAACAUUUGUC
rnacentral:lncRNA from 1 species